AACGGGUGAGUAACGCGUGGGCGACCUGCCUUCGAGUGGGGGAUAACCUUCCGAAAGGAGGGCUAAUACCGCAUGACAUACCGUGUUUGGAUACAUGGAUAUCAAAGCCGGGGAUCGCAAGACCUGGCGCUUGAAGAGGGGCCUACGUCCGAUUAGCUAGUUGGUGAGGUAACGGCUCACCAAGGCGACGAUCGGUAUCCGGCCUGAGAGGGCGGACGGACACACUGGGACUGAGACACGGCCCAGACUCCUACGGGAGGCAGCAGUAGGGAAUUGUUCGCAAUGGGCGCAAGCCUGACGACGCAACGCCGCGUGGAGGAUGAAGACCUUCGGGUCGUAAACUCCUUUCGACCGAGAUGAAU
rnacentral:rRNA from 1 species